UGGGGAAUAUUGGACAAUGGGCGCAAGCCUGAUCCAGCCAUGCCGCGUGUGUGAUGAAGGCCUUAGGGUUGUAAAGCACUUUUGUCCGGGAAGAUAAUGACUGUACCGGAAGAAUAAGCCCCGGCUAACUUCGUG
rnacentral:rRNA from 1 species